rnacentral:rRNA from 1 species
AUUGAACGCUGGCGGCAGGCCUAACACAUGCAAGUCGAACGAGUGGCGGACGGGUGCGUAAUGUCUGGGAAACUGCCCGAUGGAGGGGGAUAACUCCUGGAAACGGUAGCUAAUACCGCAUACCAUCGGCUGUGCCCAUAUGGGAUUCGCUAGUAGGUGGGGUAACGGCUCACCUAGGCGACGAUCCCUAGCGGGUCGGAGAGGAUGACCAGCCACACUGGGACGGAGACACGGCCCAGACUCCUACGUGAGGAAGCAGUGGGGAAUUUUGGACAAUGGGGGAACCCCUGAUCCAGCCAGUCCGCGUGUGCGAUGAAGGCCUUCGGGUUGUAAAGCACGUUUGGCAGGAAAGCGGUACCUGCAGAAUAAGCACCGGCUAACUACGUGCCAGCAGCCGCGGUAAUAC